rnacentral:lncRNA from 1 species
UGAUCUUAGAUUUUAUUUUAAAUGAUGUAAUGUUAUAAUUUUAAUUCCGCAUUUGAAUGACGUUUAAAGGUUAGAUAACCUGUGAUGUUUUUGAACUUAAUGAUGUAACCCUAUUUAAGGGGAGGUUUUAUGAUUCAAAUAUUGUUUUAUUUGGGUAGAUAGUAUGAAUGUUUGAAUAGUGAGCACCAAAUCUUGUGGGAAUGAAGUACCUAGAUUUGGGGGUGUCACAUUGAUCAUCAUCGAACUCUCUCGAUGCUACACUGGGUUGAUGCCAACAGUUUGCAAUAUCAGAUACUCUGAUCUUUGCUAAAGUAGUUUUUCAACGGCUU